rnacentral:rRNA from 1 species
UACGUAGGGUGCAAGCGUUUGUCCGGAAUUAUUGGGCGUAAAGAGCUCGUAGGCGGUCUGUCGCGUCUGCUGUGAAAACUCAGGGCUUAACCCUGAGCUUGCAGUGGGUACGGGCAGACUAGAGUGCGGUAGGGGAGACUGGAAUUCCUGGUGUAGCGGUGAAAUGCGCAGAUAUCAGGAGGAACACCGGUGGCGAAGGCGGGUCUCUGGACCGAGACUGACGCUGGAGGCGACGGAAAGCGUGGGGAGCAAACACGG